rnacentral:rRNA from 1 species
GACGAACGCUGGCGGCGUGUCUAAUACAUGCAAGUAGAACGCACAGUUUAUACCGUAGCUUGCUACACCAUAAACUGUGAGUUGCGAACGGGUGAGUAACGCGUAGGUAACCUGCCUGGUAGCGGGGGAUAACUAUUGGAAACGAUAGCUAAUACCGCAUAAUAUUAAUUAUUGCAUGAUAAUUGAUUGAAAGAUGCAAUUGCAUCACUACCAGAUGGACCUGCGUUGUAUUAGCUAGUAGGUGAGGUAACGGCUCACCUAGGCGACGAUACAUAGCCGACCUGAGAGGGUGAUCGGCCACACUGGGACUGAGACACGGCCCAGACUCCUACGGGAGGCAGCAGUAGGGAAUCUUCGGCAAUGGACGAAAGUCUGACCGAGCAACGCCGCGUGAGUGAAGAAGGUUUUCGGAUCGUAAAGCUCUGUUGUAAGAGAAGAACGGGUGUGAGAGUGGAAAGUUCACACUGUGACGGUAUCUUACCAGAAAGGGACGGCUAACUACGU